AUGAUUUAUUAAAUAUGUAUUGGGCUUGGGCUAGGCCAUGUGGGCCAAUGGGGUAGUGGCUCCUAUAUAUAGGCUUGAUUAGAUUGUUAAUAGGAGAGCUCUCCCACAUUUUAUAAUCAUGUAGCCCCAAAUAGAGAGCCUUGUACCAGACAAUCCUAGAGAUUGUGUGCAAGGUUCUCGAAGAUUGUACCAGACAGUCCUUAAGACUGUGUGCGAUCUAAGCAGCCACACUAUGUUAUUCAAUGAAAAUUUUCUUUUUGUUCUCAUUGGUUUGAUUUAUAUUCCGCGUUCGAUCGAACCGUGGAAUGAUGUCACGGGUAUUCGGGACUAACAAGUGGUAUCAGAGCCAUUGAAGUCUUUCAAAGGCUCGGUAUUUGAUAUCACUCGUAAAACGAGAAUAAGUUUUGCAUAGUGUCAGGGAUGAAUGUUCGUAAAUGGAAAGAGAUUUCGGUUCAUUGAAAUCUGGUAUUUAUUCACAGAUCUGAAAAAUUUAAGAUCUGGUGAUGUUUUUGUCCAAUCCAGCAAAUUUAUUCAUCUACAGAUUCAAAAUUUUGGUUAAAAUACAUGGAUGGCAUUUGCUAUUUUUUGAGAAGCUCAAAGAAUUUUCUGGGUGUCUUCAGCCAGAAUGUGUUGCUUCAUCUCCACAAAUCUCUUUUUCUUUCGAGUCCAUCUGUUGCUCCAAUGACGUUACCGGAAACAAUGACGAAAGAGAUGAACAACGAUGUUUUGGUGAUAAUGCUGAUGGAAUACAGGUUGCUCGAAGAAGAUGACCAACGACGGAGACGAUGACCGUUACCGAGGUCCGACGAAGAUGUACAGUGGUCUUCGGUGGUUGCGGAGGUGGACGUUGAACAGAGAAUAGAUGACGAAACAGUAACUCGAAAUGGUUUUUGCUUUGAAUAAUGAUAGCCGGAGGCGAAGUGUCGAAGCUGGAGAAGAUGAACAGAGGUGAGUCGGGUUAUGACAGAGAUCUGAGACGGAGGUGAACCGGUUAAACGGAGACGGAUGUAUGAUGUAGAUCACGGACUGAUGAAGAUGAAGAUGUUGGUCCGAGAUGUAUUGUGUUUUAUCCGAGAUGGCUUCGAAAUGGAACACAGAUGAUGAAGAUGCCGAUGUAUGAUGUAUGAUGAUUGAUGAUGACAGACGAUGAUUUAAUAAUAUAUGUUGUUGGAUGAUGUUGGAAAAAAAUUUCAAAUGAAAAGCUGAUGAUAAUGAAAUAUGUAGAAUGUAUGUAUGGCUAUGUUGAAGAUGAUGAUGUCACGCAUGGUUAGUAAAUGAAUGUUGGGUAUGGCGGCUGUCAUAGGAUGUCAAAUCAGAAAAUUAAAAAAACCGUAGUAAAUGUGAGCCAUUGGAUGAUUGAUUGAUCCACGGUCUCAAAUGAAGGGAAUGUUUCGAACUUCAGUGCAGAAUGAUUGUGGGGACCAUGGUGGCAUCUGAUUACGGAAUGGACAGGAGAUCAAGUGGGUUUAAUACUAGCCCAAUAGACAUGAGCCUAGGUUCAACAUUUUUAAUUGGAUUAAUAGGAUGCAUCAGUUUUAUUUUUGUUUGAUG
rnacentral:lncRNA from 1 species